AGCGUACACGGUGGAUGCCCUGGCAGUCAGAGGCGAUGAAGGGCGUGCUAAUCUGCGAUAAGCGCCGGUAAGGUGAUAUGAACCGUUAUAACCGGCGAUACCCGAAUGGGGAAACCCAGUGUGAUUCGUCACACUAUCAUUAACUGAAUCCAUAGGUUAAUGAGGCGAACCGGGGGAACUGAAACAUCUAAGUACCCCGAGGAAAAGAAAUCAACCGAGAUUCCCCCAGUAGCGGCGAGCGAACGGGGAGGAGCCCAGAGCCUGAAUCAGCAUGUGUGUUAGUGGAAGCGUCUGGAAAGGCGCGCGAUACAGGGUGACAGCCCCGUACACAAAAGCGCAUGUGCUGUGAGCUCGAUGAGUAGGGCGGGACACGUGGUAUCCUGUCUGAAUAUGGGGGGACCAUCCUCCAAGGCUAAAUACUCCUGACUGACCGAUAGUGAACCAGUACCGUGAGGGAAAGGCGAAAAGAACCCCGGCGAGGGGAGUGAAAAAGAACCUGAAACCGUGUACGUACAAGCAGUGGGAGCACAGGUUUACCUGUGUGACUGCGUACCUUUUGUAUAAUGGGUCAGCGACUUAUAUUCUGUAGCAAGGUUAACCGAAUAGGGGAGCCGGAGGGAAACCGAGUCUUAAUUGGGCGUUAAGUUGCAGGGUAUAGACCCGAAACCCGGUGAUCUAGCCAUGGGCAGGUUGAAGGUUGGGUAACACUAACUGGAGGACCGAACCGACUAAUGUUGAAAAAUUAGCGGAUGACCUGUGGCUGGGGGUGAAAGGCCAAUCAAACCGGGAGAUAGCUGGUUCUCCCCGAAAGCUAUUUAGGUAGCGCCUCGUGAAUUCAUCUCCGGGGGUAGAGCACUGUUUCGGCUAGGGGGCCAUCCCGGCUUACCAACCCGAUGCAAACUGCGAAUACCGGAGAAUGUUAUCACGGGAGACACACGGCGGGUGCUAACGUCCGUCGUGAAGAGGGAAACAACCCAGACCGCCAGCUAAGGUCCCAAAGUCAUGGUUAAGUGGGAAACGAUGUGGGAAGGCCCAGACAGCCAGGAUGUUGGCUUAGAAGCAGCCAUCAUUUAAAGAAAGCGUAAUAGCUCACUGGUCGAGUCGGCCUGCGCGGAAGAUGUAACGGGGCUAAACCAUGCACCGAAGCUGCGGCAGCGACACUGUGUGUUGUUGGGUAGGGGAGCGUUCUGUAAGCCUGUGAAGGUGGCCUGUGAGGGUUGCUGGAGGUAUCAGAAGUGCGAAUGCUGACAUAAGUAACGAUAAAGCGGGUGAAAAGCCCGCUCGCCGGAAGACCAAGGGUUCCUGUCCAACGUUAAUCGGGGCAGGGUGAGUCGACCCCUAAGGCGAGGCCGAAAGGCGUAGUCGAUGGGAAACAGGUUAAUAUUCCUGUACUUGGUGUUACUGCGAAGGGGGGACGGAGAAGGCUAUGUUGGCCGGGCGACGGUUGUCCCGGUUUAAGCGUGUAGGUGUGUGUUCCAGGUAAAUCCGGUUCACUUUAACACUGAGGCGUGAUGACGAGGCACUACGGUGCUGAAGCAACAAAUGCCCUGCUUCCAGGAAAAGCCUCUAAGCAUCAGGUAACAUCAAAUCGUACCCCAAACCGACACAGGUGGUCAGGUAGAGAAUACCAAGGCGCUUGAGAGAACUCGGGUGAAGGAACUAGGCAAAAUGGUGCCGUAACUUCGGGAGAAGGCACGCUGACACGUAGGUGAAGUGAUUUACUCAUGGAGCUGAAGUCAGUCGAAGAUACCAGCUGGCUGCAACUGUUUAUUAAAAACACAGCACUGUGCAAACACGAAAGUGGACGUAUACGGUGUGACGCCUGCCCGGUGCCGGAAGGUUAAUUGAUGGGGUCAGCGCAAGCGAAGCUCCUGAUCGAAGCCCCGGUAAACGGCGGCCGUAACUAUAACGGUCCUAAGGUAGCGAAAUUCCUUGUCGGGUAAGUUCCGACCUGCACGAAUGGCGUAAUGAUGGCCAGGCUGUCUCCACCCGAGACUCAGUGAAAUUGAACUCGCUGUGAAGAUGCAGUGUACCCGCGGCAAGACGGAAAGACCCCGUGAACCUUUACUAUAGCUUGACACUGAACAUUGAGCCUUGAUGUGUAGGAUAGGUGGGAGGCUUUGAAGCGUGGACGCCAGUCUGCGUGGAGCCGACCUUGAAAUACCACCCUUUAAUGUUUGAUGUUCUAACGUGGACCCGUAAUCCGGGUUGCGGACAGUGUCUGGUGGGUAGUUUGACUGGGGCGGUCUCCUCCUAAAGAGUAACGGAGGAGCACGAAGGUUGGCUAAUCCUGGUCGGACAUCAGGAGGUUAGUGCAAUGGCAUAAGCCAGCUUGACUGCGAGCGUGACGGCGCGAGCAGGUGCGAAAGCAGGUCAUAGUGAUCCGGUGGUUCUGAAUGGAAGGGCCAUCGCUCAACGGAUAAAAGGUACUCCGGGGAUAACAGGCUGAUACCGCCCAAGAGUUCAUAUCGACGGCGGUGUUUGGCACCUCGAUGUCGGCUCAUCACAUCCUGGGGCUGAAGUAGGUCCCAAGGGUAUGGCUGUUCGCCAUUUAAAGUGGUACGCGAGCUGGGUUUAGAACGUCGUGAGACAGUUCGGUCCCUAUCUGCCGUGGGCGCUGGAGAACUGAGGGGGGCUGCUCCUAGUACGAGAGGACCGGAGUGGACGCAUCACUGGUGUUCGGGUUGUCAUGCCAAUGGCACUGCCCGGUAGCUAAAUGCGGAAGAGAUAAGUGCUGAAAGCAUCUAAGCACGAAACUUGCCCCGAGAUGAGUUCU
rnacentral:rRNA from 1 species